rnacentral:rRNA from 1 species
CAGUCGCCGCGGGAAUACGUAGGUGGCAAGCGUUGUCCGGAAUUAUUGGGCGUAAAGGGCUCGCAGGCGGUUUCUUAAGUCUGAUGUGAAAGCCCCCGGCUCAACCGGGGAGGGUCAUUGGAAACUGGGAAACUUGAGUGCAGAAGAGGAGAGUGGAAUUCCACGUGUAGCGGUGAAACGCGUAGAGAUGUGGAGGAACACCAGUGGCGAAGGCGACUCUCUGGUCUGUAACUGACGCUGAGGAGCGAAAGCGUGGGGAGCGAACAGGAUUAGAUACCCCAGUAGUCCCUGUCUCUUAUAC